rnacentral:rRNA from 1 species
GAUGAAAGCUGACAGAAGCUUAACACCUGCAAGUCGACUCGAGUCCUAGGAUUUGGGUGGCGCACGGGUGAGUAACGCGUAAAGAACUUGCAUCUUAGACCGGGACAACAUCUGGAAACGCAUGCUAAUACCGGAUAUUAUGGUUUUUUCGCAUGGAGGAAUCAUGAAAGCUAGAUGCGCUAAGAGAGAGCUUUGCGUCCCAUUAGCUAGUUGGUGAGGUAACGGCCCACCAAGGCAAUGAUGGGUAGCCGGCCUGAGAGGGUGAACGGCCACAAGGGGACUGAGACACGGCCCUUACUCCUACGGGAGGCAGCAGUGGGGAAUAUUGGACAAUGGACCACAAGUCUGAUCCAGCAAUUCUGUGUGCACGAUGACGUUUUUCGGAAUGUAAAGUGCUUUCAGUCGGGAAGAAGUCAGUGACGGUACCGACAGAAGAAGCGACGGCUAAAUACGUGCCAGCAGCCGCGGUAAUACGUAUGUCGCAAGCGUUAUCCGGAUUUAUUGGGCGUAAAGCGCGUCUAGGCGGCAAGGAAAGUCUGAUGUGAAAAUGCGGAGCUCAACUCCGUAUGGCGUUGGAAACUGCCUUACUAGAGUACUGGAGAGGUAGGCGGAACUACAAGUGUAGAGGUGAAAUUCGUAGAUAUUUGUAGGAAUGCCGAUGGGGAAGCCAGCCUACUGGACAGAUACUGACGCUAAAGCGCGAAAGCGUGGGUAGCAAACAGG